AGAUCAAGCGUCUGAAGGGCAUCUGGUGGAUGCCUUGGCACUGAGAGGCGAUGAAGGACGUAGCACGUUGCGAUAAGCUUCGGGGAGCCGCGAGCAGGCUUUGAUCCGGAGAUUUCCGAAUGGGGCAACCCACCGCAUCUGCGGUAUCCCACGCUGAAUCCAUAGGCGUGGGAGGCGAACCCGGCGAACUGAAACAUCUAAGUAGCCGGAGGAAAGGACAUCAACCGAGACUCCGCUAGUAGUGGCGAGCGAACGCGGACCAGGCCAGUCAUUCGACCUACAUAACCGGAACCGUCUGGAAAGUCGGGCCAGAGCGGGUGAUAGCCCCGUACGGGUCAACCGGGUCGGAUGCACGAGUAGGGCGGGGCACGUGAAACCCUGUCUGAACAUGGGGGGACCACCCUCCAAGCCUAAGUACUCCUCAGUGACCGAUAGUGCACCAGUACCGUGAGGGAAAGGUGAAAAGCACCCCGACGAGGGGAGUGAAACAGUUCCUGAAACCGGAUGCCUACAAGCAGUCGGAGCCUCUUCAUGGGGUGACGGCGUACCUUUUGUAUAAUGGGUCAGCGACUUAGAGUAUGCAGCGAGCUUAAGCCGGUAGGUGAAGGCGCAGCGAAAGCGAGUCUGAAUAGGGCGACUUGAGUUGCAUGCUUUAGACCCGAAACCUGAUGAUCUAGCCAUGGACAGGUUGAAGGUGCGGUAACACGCACUGGAGGACCGAACCCACGCCUGUUGAAAAAGUCGGGGAUGAUCUGUGGCUAGGGGUGAAAGGCCAAUCAAAUCAGGAAAUAGCUGGUUCUCCGCGAAAGCUAUUUAGGUAGCGCGUCGGAUAUUGCCGCGGGGGGUAGAGCACUGGAUGGGCUAGGGGGGCGCGAGCCUUACCAAACCUAACCAAACUCCGAAUACCCGCGAGCACAGUCCGGCAGACAGACGGUGGGUGCUAAGGUCCAUCGUCGAGAGGGAAACAGCCCAGACCGCCAGCUAAGGUCCCCAAAUCACGGCUAAGUGGGAAAGGAUGUGGGAAGGCCAUGACAACCAGGAGGUUGGCUUAGAAGCAGCCAUCCUUUAAAGAAAGCGUAAUAGCUCACUGGUCUAGUUAAGCCGGCCUGCGCCGAAAAUGUAACGGGGCUCAAGCCGUGUACCGAAGCUGCGGAUGUGAUCGUCAGAUCACGUGGUAGCGGAGCGUUCCGUAAGCCUGCGAAGGGUGUCCGUGAGGCCGCCUGGAGGUAUCGGAAGUGAGAAUGCUGACAUGAGUAGCGACAAAGAGUGUGAGAAACACUCUCGCCGAAAGUCCAAGGGUUCCUGCGCAAGGUUAAUCCACGCAGGGUGAGCCGGCCCCUAAGGCGAGGCCGAAAGGCGUAGUCGAUGGGAACCAGGUUAAUAGUCCUGGGCCUGGCGGAGGUGACGGAUGGGAAAGCGUGUACGCCCUUAUCGGAUUGGGCGUGCUGUGGACCCGUCCCAGGAAACAGCCCCGCCGUACAGACCGUACCCGAAACCGACACAGGUGGACUGGUAGAGCAUACCCAGGCGCUUGAGAGAAUGGUGUUGAAGGAACUCGGCAAAUUGCCCUCGUAACUUCGGAAGAAGAGGGCCCCAUGGGUGGGCAACCACCUGUGGGGGCACAGACCAGGGGGUGGCGACUGUUUACUAAAAACACAGGGCUCUGCGAAGCCACACAAGGCGACGUAUAGGGUCUGACGCCUGCCCGGUGCCGGAAGGUUAAGAGGAGAGGUGCAAGCCUUGAAUUGAAGCCCCGGUAAACGGCGGCCGUAACUAUAACGGUCCUAAGGUAGCGAAAUUCCUUGUCGGGUAAGUUCCGACCUGCACGAAUGGCGUAACGACUUCCCCGCUGUCUCCAACACCAACUCAGCGAAAUUGAACUCUCCGUGAAGAUGCGGAGUACCCGCGGUCAGACGGAAAGACCCCGUGCACCUUUACUACAGCUUUGCAGUGGUGCUAGGGAUCUCAUGUGUAGGAUAGGUGGGAGGCUAGGAAGCCCGGGCGCCAGCUCGGGUGGAGCCACCCUUGAAAUACCACCCUUGAGGUCUCUGGCAUCUAACCGCGCUCCGUGAUCCGGAGCCGGGACCCUGCAUGGCGGGUAGUUUGACUGGGGCGGUCGCCUCCCAAAGAGUAACGGAGGCGCGCGAUGGUGGGCUCAGAGCGGUCGGAAAUCGCUCGUCGAGUGCAAUGGCAUAAGCCCGCCUGACUGCAAGACCGACAAGUCGAGCAGAGACGAAAGUCGGCCAUAGUGAUCCGGUGGUUCCACGUGGACGGGCCAUCGCUCAACGGAUAAAAGGUACGCCGGGGAUAACAGGCUGAUGACGCCCAAGAGUCCAUAUCGACGGCGUCGUUUGGCACCUCGAUGUCGGCUCAUCACAUCCUGGGGCUGGAGCAGGUCCCAAGGGUUCGGCUGUUCGCCGAUUAAAGUGGUACGUGAGCUGGGUUUAGAACGUCGUGAGACAGUUCGGUCCCUAUCUGCCGUGGGUGUCGGAGUUUUGCGAGGAUCUGUCCCUAGUACGAGAGGACCGGGAUGGACGCACCUCUGGUGUACCGGUUGUCACGCCAGUGGCACAGCCGGGUAGCUAAGUGCGGACGGGAUAACCGCUGAAAGCAUCUAAGCGGGAAACCCACCUCUAAACCAGACCUCCCCACAAGAGCCGUGAUAGACCAUCACGUCGAUAGGAGGCGUGUGGAAGGGUGGCAACACCUGAAGCUAAGCCUUACUAAUCGCUCGAGCGGCUUGAUUUC
rnacentral:rRNA from 1 species